CUUUCUAAUAUACAAUAAACAUGCCAUUUCUAGUAUACAAUAAUUUAUACAGAAAUUUUUAGAAAAUCAUUACUUUAACCAACUUCAAUCUCUACCACUGCAUUUGGAACAAAUAAUAUUUAGUCAGAUGGAAUGCCUCUCAAAUAUUUAAAAGAACGGAGUCUCGCUCUGUCACCCAGGCUGGAAUACAGUGACGCGAUCUCUGCCCACUGCAAGCUCUGCCUAAGAAGGUUAAGUAAAGAGAAUAUCUGGCCACUUUCCUCAGUGUAUCUCAGUAAAUACUAUGUUAUUUAGCUCUUCUAUCAGCAGAUAUGUAAGCUGUUUAUUGCAUCAGUAAUUUUCAAAGAAAAUGAAUGUAAAGUAAACAGAGCAACAGAGGCCUGUGAAAAAACUAGAAAGAAAACAGCCACAUGGCAAGAGAAGAAGGAAUGGAAGAAGGCUCUGGGAGGUGUUGAAUUUGUUUGAGUUCUUUCUCCUAGAAGACAGAAGCAGGUGCAAUAGAACACAAAUAUAAAAAGGGAAGCCAAGGUUCCUGCCUGGGUCAUAAAAAAUACUGGAUACAAAAGAUUUUAGAAGAAGAAGGAGAAAACAAAUUCAGGGGCAAGACACCAGAACCAUUGGAAAGACCGAUGGAGAGUUACGUGAAGAGCUUCCAGAAAAUAAGGCAUAUACAAGUGCUAGUAUUCCAGUCUUACACACAGAUGCAUAGAUAAAUAAAUAACAUCACACAUUUGCUAAUAAA